rnacentral:rRNA from 1 species
GGGCCCGCACAAGCGGUGGAGCAUGUGGCUUAAUUCGAGGCAACGCGAAGAACCUUACCUGGUCUUGACAUGCCCGUCAUAGUUUUCCGAAAGGAAUUCGUCAGUUCGGCUGGACGGUGCACAGGUGCUGCAUGGCUGUCGUCAGCUCGUGUCGUGAGAUGUUCGGUUAAGUCCGGCAACGAGCGCAACCCUCGUUUCCAGUUGCCAGCGGGUAAUGCCGGGGACUCUGGAAAGACAAACCUCUUGUUGAGGUGGGAAGGUGGGGACGACGUCAAGUCAGUAUGGCCCUUACGACCAGGGCUGCACACGUGCUACAAUGCCCGGCACAAUGGGAUGCAAUAUCGCGAGAUUGAGCAAAUCCACAAAACCGGGCCCAGUUCGGAUUGGAGUCUGCAACUCGACUCCAUGAAGUUGGAAUCGCUAGUAAUGG